GACGAACGCUGGCGGCGUGCUUAACACAUGCAAGUCGAACGGGCCUUGUCCCCUUUUUUUUUGGGGGUGGGGUUAGUGGCGAACAGGUGAGUAACACGUGAGUAACCUGCCCCUCACUUCUGGAUAACCGCUUGAAAGGGUGGCUAAUACGGGGUGUUCUGGCCUGCUCGCAUGGGUGGGUUUGGAAAGAUUCGACCGGUUUUGGUGGUUUUGGUGGGGGAUGGGCUCGCGGCCUAUCAGCUUGUUGGUGGGGUGAUGGCCUGCCAAGGCUUUGACGGGUAGCCGGCCUGAGAGGGUGGGCGGUCACACUGGGACUGAGACACGGCCCAGACUCCUACGGGAGGCAGCAGUGGGGAAUAUUGCACAAUGGGCGCAAGCCUGAUGCAGCGACGCCGCGUGAGGGAUGGAGGCCUUCGGGUUGUGAACCUCUUUCGCCAGUGAAGAAGGUCCUGCUCUUUGUGGUGGGGUUGACGGUAGCUGGGUUAAUGAAGCGCCGGCUAACUACGUG
rnacentral:rRNA from 1 species